rnacentral:rRNA from 1 species
UGCAAGUCGAACGCGAAAGUCCUUCGGGGCGAGUAGAGUGGCGGACGGGUGAGUAACGCGUGGGAAUCUACCCUAGAGCGGGGGACAACCCGGGGAAACCCGGCUAAUACCGCAUACGUCCUACGGGAGAAAGAGGGCCUCUGCUUGCAAGCUCUCACUCCAGGAUGAGCCCACGUCCGAUUAGCUAGUUGGUAGGGUAAAGGCCUACCAAGGCCACGAUCGGUAGCUGGUCUGAGAGGAUGAUCAGCCACACUGGGACUGAGACACGGCCCCAGACUCCUACGGGAGGCAGCAGUGGGGAAUAUUGGACAAUGGGCGCAAGCCUGAUCCAGCAAUGCCGCGUGUGUGAAGAAGGCCUGCGGGUUGUAAAGCACUUUCAGUGGGGAAGAACAGGUUCGGGUCAAUACCCCGGAGCCCUGACGUUACCCACAGAAGAAGCACCGGCUAACUCCGUG